rnacentral:lncRNA from 1 species
CUUGGAUCAACUGCAAAGCCUAUAUCCUACAGAAACCUAUGAGCGAGUAAAGGGGAGCCUUUUGGACAGUCUUGCAGCUCAAUACCAGGGGGAAGAGACGCCACCAUCAAGCUGUCACUCGCCAAACUCAGGAAUGGUGCGACCAAGUCAAAGCCUCAGAAACCUGCAUUCCCACUGAUGGGCAGAGGAUUUAGCAUUGAUGAAUGACCCAAAUGGCGAACAAUCGCUACGGCCGACUGUCUGGCUAAGUGGUGAAGAAGAGGAUUUUAAGCACCCCAAAGGCAAGCAAUAUGAAGUUAUUAUUCUCACAGGAACUGAAACCUGACCCCUCCUGGACCUUACACGUAUCUAUUAGGUGGUUUUAAGAAUGCCUUAAUAUUACAGAUGGGCCCAGGAAGUGCUGUUAAGAUCUGGAUGAGCUUUAGGCUAGGGGGAUCAGAGUAAAGGUUAAAUCAGAGCUAGGGCUCACUGAAAUCUCA